GACGAACGCUGGCGGCGUGCUUAACACAUGCAAGUCGAACGGAAAGGCCCUGCUUUUGUGGGGUGCUCGAGUGGCGAACGGGUGAGUAACACGUGAGUAACCUGCCCUUGACUUUGGGAUAACUUCAGGAAACUGGGGCUAAUACCGGAUAGGAGCUCCUGCUGCAUGGUGGGGGGUGGAAAGUUUCGGCGGUUGGGGAUGGACUCGCGGCUGAUCAGCUUGUUGGUGGGGUAGUGGCUUACCAAGGCUUUGACGGGUAGCCGGCCUGAGAGGGUGACCGGCCAGAUUGGGACUGAGAUGCGGCCCAGACUGCUACGGGAGGCAGCAGUGGGGAAUGUUGCACGAUGGGCGGAAGCCUGAUGCAGCAACGCCGCGUGCGGGAUGACGGCCUUCGGGUUGUAAACCGCUUUCGCCUGUGACGAAGCGUGAGUGGCGGUAAUGGGUAAAGAAGCACCGGCUAACUACGUG
rnacentral:rRNA from 1 species